AGGCGAUCUCCCGGAGCUUUGGAUGGAUCAAAGCGGCUAAGGAGGGAGGCGAUCUCCCGGAGCUUUGGAUGGAUCAAAGCGGCUAAGGAUGGAGGCGAUCUCCCGGAGCUCUGGAUGGAUCAAAGCGGCUAACCAGAAACUCAAGCAGGACCUCCAUCCAGGCGUCACCAUCCAGGGGUGACCAUCCAUCCAGGGGUCAGCAUCCAUCCAAGGGGCCCCAUCCAUCCAGGCUCCAUCCAUACAGGGGGCACCGGACCAGGGCGCUCCAUGGGCCCCGGGAACUCAAUAUUUAACUUUUUUUAAUUUUUAAUAAAUAUAUUUAUUGGUUAA